rnacentral:rRNA from 1 species
AUGCCUCCUCCUAACGUCAACCGCACGCUCGUACGCGUGCUCGCGGUCCCGACGCGCCGGACGCGUUCAAUGCGCACCCAUAACACUCACCGGUCGCGCCCGGCUCGCCGCCGCGGCUUAUUGCCCUGCACCCUGCGGCCUCAACUACAGCGCAACACCUCCAUGCCGCUGUGUGUCGUUGAAGCCGCCACCACGCAGGUCCUCCGCGGCCUCCUCACUAUGCCGCCGUAG